AGUAGCAGAGGACUCGCUAAUUUGACCCAGUCACAACCGAUUACAACGUAGCUGGGUAAUUCAAAACGUGGAAAUAUUCGCUGGAACGAAGUUCUUCCGUUUGAGGGUUACAGCUUGUAAACUUUGCCUUUCAAACAACCCCAGAAGAAAAAAUCACAAGGAUUACGAUCAAGUGAAUGUGCUGGCAAAAUAUCACUGCUGAUAAUUCUGUCCCUGAAGACAUCAGACAAAGGGCAUGCUAUUUUGUAUGCGGAUGACAUCACAAUUAUAGUUACUUCAAAAGAUCUAAAUACUUUGAAUGAUAAAUUAAAUAUAGUAAUGAAACGCAUUUCUAAUUGGUUUCAAAAUAAUCAUUUGGUACUUAAUUUGGGAAAGACUGAUUUGAUUAAAUUUACUAUCCAAAAACUCCGGAAUAUACAUUAUCAGUGACAUAUAAUAAUUUAGGUCUUAAAGUUGAAGAUAAUGUUAAAUUUUUGGGUAUAUAUGUAGAUCGUCAUCUUAAUUGAAAACAACACUGAAAAAUUAUUAAACAAUUGAAUACAGCAUGUUUCAUGCUGAGGAAAUUAGAGUUCAUUGUUAGUGAACAAGUCCUACAAAUGGUCUAUUUUUCUCAUUAUCAGUCACAACUUGAAUAUGGUAUUAUUUUGGUGGGUUCUUCUCCAGCAAUGAAAAGCAUUUUUGCGGCCCAAAAACGGGCACUCAGGGUUAUGUUAAGAUUGAGUCCUAGAAGCUCUUGUAAAGAAGGCUUUAAGAGAAUGGAUAUUUUACAGUUCCUUGUUUAUAUAUAUCUGCUAUGAUGAUGCCCAUUGUUAGAAAUCAUAAUACUUAUCAAACAAAUAAAGCUAUUCAUCAUAUAUGCCCAAGACAAUUUGAAAAGUUACAUGUUUCCUCAGUAAGACUAUCUUUGAUUCAAAGGGGUGUGUUGUAUUCAUCGAUCAUAAUUUAUAAUAAUCUUCCCCAAAAUAUACAAAUUUUGAAAGACAAUGUGAAUAUUUUUAAGAACACAUUUCAAUUUUAAUUUCAAAUUAUUUUUGUUCAUCAGAUCUACAUUUUGCGAUGGCGCCUCCAGAUACAGAACAUGUCAAAGCCCAAGUUACAAUAAAAUUAAUGCAGAGGACGUCAUAAAGUUAUUACAACAUACUUACAACCAUUGUUGCAAUAACUAUUGAUAAAAUGAUUGAUACAAUGUUAUAAUUAAAUACAACAUGCAUAUAACACUUGCAUUACAACUUAUUAUCAUAAUAAAAUACAUAUUGACAUUGUCAAUAAUAGAGUAAAAGCAUAUCUAAAGAAUUAUAGGUACCCUACAAUAAAAGUUUUAAAAAAAUGA